UUAACAACCAUAAUCAAGCAUCAAUUAAUUCUAAUUAUUAUUUUUAUUUUUUAUUUAUUUUUUAUUUAAUUUAUUUUUAUUUUUGAAAUAAAUUAUAAAAAAAACACAAGAAAAUCUUAAAAAUUCCAAAGAAAUCUUAAAGAAAUCCAAAUCAAACUUUAAACCAAAUCAAAUUCUAAUCUUAAUCAAAGCUUAAUCCUAAUCAAAUCCUAAUCCUAAUAAAAAUCUAAAACCUAAUCAAAUCCUAAUCCCAAUAAAAUUCUAAUCAAAUCCUAAAUAAGUCCUAAUUAAAUCCUAAUCAAACCUUAGUCAAAUCCUAAUAAAAUUCUAAUCAAAUCCUAAAUAAAUCCUAAUUUUAACCAAAUCUUAAAUCAAUCCAAAAUCCUAAUCCUAACUCUAAACUGAAUCCUAAUCAAUUCCAAGUAAUUCCAAAAAUAGAUUUAAAUAUUAAUAACUAAUAAAAAAAUUAAUUUCAACUCAAAUUUUGCACAAUUCUUAAUAAUUAAGUUGAAAUCAAAUAAAAAAAAAAAUUGAAAAAAAUCAAAAUGACCAAAUAGACAAAAACUCAAAAAUGUACUCAAAUAUUGGCUAGCCUCCUUCUCUGACCUUGAUAUCAAACUUCUAGAGCCAAUUACUCCUGAUUGAACCAUUACUUUGCUUCCAAAAUUUACAUACUUGUUAGAAAUCAACUUGACUACCUUUGUGAAAAAAUUUACUUCAAUCUAACUAGCAGAUUGACAGAUAUCUAAGAAAAACUUAUUAGUCUUUAAAAUACUAAAUUUGAGACUAUAAUCCACAAAAACUUUCAUACUUUUCAAUCUAACUAUCCAAUCAAAUCCAAAUUCAUAAUACACAUCUAGCACAAUUAUAUCCACAAACCCUAAUAUUUUUACUUGUAGAUCUAUUACCAAACUCUUGAAAUUGCCCAAAAUGUCAACCCUAUUUUGUUUUCCAAAAAAUCAAAGUCACUAAAAAUAAUAUCAACUUUGCUGUACUCUUG
rnacentral:lncRNA from 1 species